rnacentral:tRNA from 2 species
UGCGGAAUAGAGCAGUUGGGUAGCUCGUUGGGUGUAUACCCAAAGGUCAGUGGUUCAAAUCCAUUUUCUGCGACCA